GAGGCUCAGAAACUUCGUAUCUACCAGUGUGGCUGGCAUAGACUCUGGCUGCCAUUCACAGGAUUAGAGUCUACCAGUGCUUUUCAUUGGCUGAGCUAACCAGACACUCAGUGGCUGAAAUGUAGUUCUCAGAAGUUAUGGGGAAGAUGGGGAAUGGAUUGAGAGCAAACAGUCACAGAGAGAGAGAGAGGCAGAGACCCAGGCAGAGGGAGAAGCAGGCUCCAUGCACCGGGAGCCCGACGUGGGACUCGAUCCCGGGUCUCCAGGAUCGCGCCCUGGGCCAAAGGCAGGCGCCAAACCGCUGCGCCACCCAGGGAUCCCUUGCUAAUGUUUUAAAACUCUGAACCUGUGGUUUCUACGGGGGAAGUUCAUUGUGAAGUGCUCCCUGGAAGUGAGGGAAGCAGGCUUGGGAGAAAGAAGUUGAACUACAAUAUAGUCACAACAGAAGGCAUAGCCCAUUCCAUGGAAAGCUCCAGUGCUGGGACAACACUUCAGAGUUAUUUCCUCAUCAAGGCAAGAGAUCUGGGCUUUCAUGUACUGCUUCAAUUAGUCAUUGAAUGUGGGCUGUUGGCUAGGAGAGAAUAUAAGCUUGGGUAAGACAGCUUCUUUGGACAGGGAUUCAACUGUGACCUAGUGCUCCCAGAAGUUGGAGGAAUGGGCAUCAUGGUCUUGAAGGGGCAGGGAGAGGAGGACAAAUUGGAUGGUGCACCACAAUAUUCACUAUAAAACAACUAAGAAUAAAUAAGCACUAUAUUUGUAAAUCAUUGAGCUUCAGACUCAUACAUAGAGCCCACUAUUUCCUGAUUGUGCCUGAAACAUAAGAGUGCUUAUAAGAGGACAAGAGACGAGACUUCAGAGAUGAGUUGAACCAUCUGGAAGCAUAAGUGGAUGCCAAGAAACUUGGGUGAGAGGGAAGUCUAGUGGCAGUAUGGAGAUGGAUUGGCACAGGGACCACUCUUGGGCAUACCUUUCACGGCUCUUGUAAUAGCCCAUUGCAUAGGGACCAAAGCCGGAAUAGGUGCCCCUAAGGUUCUAUUUUUAUUCAGAAUGUUUAAGUGAAUCAGUGUCAAUGGGAUGGAGAAGGGCUGAACUUGCAGGACAUUUUAAAGGUAGCUUUCAAUGGUUUUAAGUGGCUGAAUGUGCAGAUAAGGGAAGAUUUCAGACAAACCCUGUUUUUGUAGCUUGGGAGGCUGUGAAAGAUGAUGCUUGAAGGGAGAUUACAAUCACAUUCCCCCUAUAGGGCCCAUGUUCCCCCUGUGGGUGUCCAUGUUCCCCCUGUGGGGUCCAUGUUCACCCUAUGGUCCAUGCUCACUGUGGGGGCCAGUGUGAAAUCUUGACUAUCUUUUUAAUUGACAAAACAAAAAUAAUUAUUACUUACUUUCUCUUUUUCUUCUUUCAUUUUUCUUUCUUCUGAGGAGACUGUUGCUUCAUUUUGUCUCUUAAAAUGAGUCGUUCUUUCCAUCUAUAAUUUUUUUUAACAAUCUAUUUUAACAAAAAUGU